rnacentral:lncRNA from 1 species
UCUGGCCCGCCCCUGCCCUUACUCCAUAGAAAGAACCAGCUGUCCUCCCUCCCCCCAGGGAGUGAGCAAACCAGGAAACUUGAUGUUUGUUUUCACUCCCUGCUGCUGCAGCAGAACCUCAAUAAAACCUUGCCUGAAUAUUCCUGUCUGGCCUCUUAUCAAUUUCUAUUGAUUAAGGAGGUCAAGAACUCUGAACAGUAACACAUUAUGUAGAGGAAAUAUACAAAACAGUUUUUUUUCUGUUUCUUUUAAGUAUGCAUAUUAAUAUAUUCACCAGUCAAAAGCGCUUCCCCAGAGGAACAGGAAGCCAGUGUUAGGGAAGAGAAGAGGAAGGAGAAGAGAACUGAUUAGACACUCUCGGUUGAGAUUUCACCUGGAAUCACAGGAAAAGAUCCUGGAUCUUUCCAAAAAGACAAAAGCCCCCAAGAACCUGACUGAAGAACCAGCAGUCUGUGCUGGGUCUGAAUUCACCAUUAGCACCCAGGGUAACCUCAGUCCACAGAAUGUAAGAAGACAAGUGAGGCAAUGUCUGCAGUGUCCAGCGGCCAAACCCGCUCUGCUACAGAAGAAAUACCCCAAUUGUCCUUCCUAAGCAAAAAUUGCCACGAUUCCCCAUAAACACGCAGUUGUCCGUUGACUGAUAUAAAUAGACUUUUUAAUACACAACCAGCUGUCUGAGAGAGUUUAUAACUGUUGACCAAAGACACAGUGGGGAAGGGAAAUGGGAGGUUUCCACAUAGCAGGAGAAGGGCUUGUCUGCAGUGAGUGAGCUUGUACACAGAUCUCCCAUUUAAACUAUGUCAGUGUGCGUGGAUUC